rnacentral:rRNA from 1 species
AGUCGAGGGGUAUGGCACUUCGGUGCCAGAGACCGGCGCACGGGUGCGUAACGCGUAUGCAAUCUGCCUUUCACAGAGGGAUAGCCCAGAGAAAUUUGGAUUAAUACCUCAUAGUAUAGUGAGUUGGCAUCAACACACUAUUAAAGUCACAACGGUGAAAGAUGAGCAUGCGUCCCAUUAGCUAGUUGGUAAGGUAACGGCUUACCAAGGCAACGAUGGGUAGGGGUCCUGAGAGGGAGAUCCCCCACACUGGUACUGAGACACGGACCAGACUCCUACGGGAGGCAGCAGUGAGGAAUAUUGGUCAAUGGGCGCAAGCCUGAACCAGCCAUGCCGCGUGCAGGAUGACGGUCCUAUGGAUUGUAAACUGCUUUUGUACGAGAAGAAACAACAUUACGUGUAAUGUCUUGACGGUAUCGUAAGAAUAAGGAUCGGCUAACUCCGUGCCAGCAGCCGCGGUAAUACGGAGGAUCCAAGCGUUAUCCGGAAUCAUUGGGUUUAAAGGGUCCGUANGCGGUCUAGUAAGUCAGUGGUGAAAGCCCAUCGCUCAACGGUGGAACGGGCAUUGAUACUGCUGGA